rnacentral:rRNA from 1 species
GACGGGGGCCCGCACAAGCAGCGGAGCAUGUGGUUUAAUUCGACGCAACGCGAAGAACCUUACCAGGUCUUGACAUCCAGGUAAAGCCGUAGAGAUACGGUGUGUGCUUGCACAAUCUGAGACAGGUGGUGCAUGGUUGUCGUCAGCUCGUGUCGUGAGAUGUUGGGUUAAGUCCCGCAACGAGCGCAACCCUUAUUUUCAGUUACUAACGCGUAGAGGCGAGGACUCUGAAGAGACUGCCGGGGACAACUCGGAGGAAGGUGGGGACGACGUCAAAUCAUCAUGCCCCUUAUGACCUGGGCUACACACGUGCUACAAUGGCCACCACAGAGAGGAGCGAACCCGUAAGGGGGAGCGGAUCUCAAAAAAGUGGUCCCAGUUCGGAUUGUGGGCUGCAACCCGCCCACAUGAAGUCGGAGUUGCUAGUAAUCGCGGAUCAGCAUGCCGCGGUGAAUACGUUCCCGGGCCUUGUACACACCGCCCGUCACACCAUGGGAGUUGGGAGUGCCCAAAGUCGGUGAGGUAACCGGGAGGAGCCAGCCGCCUAA